rnacentral:lncRNA from 1 species
GAUGGGGAAGAUCAUCAAGGCUAUUCUCAAGAAAUUGAAUGCAAGUGGUAUCAGUCUGUAUUGUGUGAUCGUUCAAGUCAUAGUAAAAUAAAACUUCAUUCAAACACAAAGCUUUGUUGACUGUUGUCUGCUCGUGUUUUAAACGGGAUUUAAUUUAAAGGAGGCUUAUGAGUCUUUGAAAGCCACCUUGAUAACUUAUAAAAGUUUGCAAUAUAUAAAAUGGGAAGGCAGGAAGUUAUACCAUCUUUUGGUUUUAGAAUAUGAAAAAUGUAUCCUAAAGCUUAUGACGACUCACGGCAAUUGGUUCUUUAAAAUUUGAUUAAACAAUAAAAAUGUAAUUUUUUUUAAACCUAUUUUAAUAAAAAUAUAUAAAAACAUG